UUAAGUUGCUAUGCUUAAAGUCGAGCAAGCGGAAGUCAUGAUAACCACUAAGGCUUCGUUUGGAAUUGCGGAGAGAUUGCGAUACGUGUGGUGAGAAAAUAUGUUAGAAAAAUAUCUUAUUUGUUUCCGUACGUAAUAUUAUAUUUCGCAUAUCGCGAUGAGUCGAUUACGACAUAUUUUUCUGCGGUUCCACCGGAGAACGCAGAAGCAUAUCUCUAUAUACUUUUUCCUCAACUCCAUUUUAUCUAAUAGCGUUAGAUAGAUCUCAAUACCAAACUAAGCCUAAGAGUACAAGACCUCAGCUUCAUGUCAAGUUACCCCUAAAUCCGUACGCGCGGAUU
rnacentral:lncRNA from 1 species